CUGAUGGCGACCGGCGUACGGGUGAGUAACGCGUAUCCAACCUGCCCCUUACUAUGGGACAGCCCGUCGAAAGGCGGAUUAAUACCGUAUGUUGUCAUGUUGAUGCAUAUUUUCAUGACCAAAGGCUUCGGCCGGUAAAGGAUGGGGAUGCGUCUGAUUAGCUUGCCGGCGGGGUAACGGCCCACCGGGGCGACGAUCAGUAGGGGUUCUGAGAGGAAGGUCCCCCACAUUGGAACUGAGACACGGUCCAAACUCCUACGGAAGGCAGCAG
rnacentral:rRNA from 1 species